UAUAUAUUAGAAAUUAAUAAUUUAUUUACCCUUGAAGUCUAACGAUUAAAAAUAGAACAUAAUUCAAUAUAGAUAUAUGAUUCUAUUAAUAAAUUAUCAGUUGCAAAUUUGAAAUUUCUAGAAAUAUCAAAAAUCGUAUGUUAGUUAAUUAUCUUCUAAAUGACAUCUAUUUUUAAUUCUUUUUGGAUGAUAAUAUUUUGGCUGAGGUGGAUAAUCUUAAAAGCCAUGAAUUUAGUCUAUUUUAUAUAGUAAGAUUCAAACAUCGAAUAAUAUCGGCCAUAUGCCUGAUUUAAAUAGAUUAAUGUACAUAAACGUGUCUUUCGUUUUACAAUAUUAUUAUUUUCACAAUAUUUUAAUAUCUUUUCUCCCACGGAUAUUAUUUGUACACACGUCGUUGAUCCUUUUUUUGUCCAUGAUUGGACUUCAAACCGAGGUACGACUAAAACGAAAAAUAGAGUAAGAAGGAAGAUUUUAAGCAUACAAGACCAAGUUUUUCAAUCCGACAAUGGAAGAGAUCCGAGUUUGAAUGUAUGAAGAGACAGAUAAUAAACACGAGGACACAAGAGUUUGACUACAGCAGUCUACUUUGAUAGAGAUGGUUGGAUCCACUUUCAUUCACUCUUCAGCUGGAGGCGAACGAGACCGGCUGCAAAUGAACCCCACAAAAA